GGAUGAACGCUGGCGGCGUGCCUAAUACAUGCAAGUCGAACGGAGGGUCGCAAGACCUUCAGUGGCGAACGGGUGAGUAACGCGUUGGUACCUGCCCCGAAGCGAGGGAUAACGGGACGAAAGUCUCGCUAAUACCCCAUGUGCUCCGCGAGGAGUAAAGGAGAAAUCCGCUUUGGGAGGGGCCUGCGUCCCAUCAGCUAGUUGGUAAGGUAACGGCUUACCAAGGCGAUGACGGGUAGGGGACCUGAGAGGGUGAACCCCCACAAUGGAACUGAAACACGGUCCAUACACCUACGGGUGGCAGCAGUAGGGAAUAUUGGUAAUGGGCGCAAGCCUGAACCAGCAACGCCGCGUGUGCGAUGAAGGCCUUCGGGUUGUAAAGCACUUUUUGUCGGGACGAGGAAGGACGGUACCGGCAGAAUAAGCCUC
rnacentral:rRNA from 1 species